CCCCUAGAUGUUCUGGGCCGCACGCGCGCUACACUGAACAGUUCAACAAGUCUUAACCUUGGCCGAUAGGUCUGGGUAAUCUUUGAACGCUGUUCGUGAUUGGGAUAGACCUUUGCAAUUAUGGGUCUUCAACGAGGAAUUCCUAGUAAACGCAAGUCAUCAGCUUGCAUUGAUUACGUCCCUGCCCUUUGUACACACCGCCCGUCGCUCCUACCGAUUGAAUGGUCCGGUGAAAUCUUCGGAUUGCUGGAUAGGACUUCAUUGACCUAUCUGCGAGAAGUUGCUUGAACCUUAUCAUUUAGAGGAAGGAGAAGUCGUAACA
rnacentral:rRNA from 1 species